rnacentral:misc_RNA from 1 species
GAUGAAGAACGUAGCGAAAUGCGAUACGUAAUGUGAAUUGCAGAAUUCAGUGAAUCAUCGAAUCUUUGAACGCAUAUUGCGCUCUUUGGUAUUCCGAAGAGCAUGCUUGUUUGAGUAUCAGUAAACACCUCAAAGCUUUUGGAUUUUUUAAUCGAAAAGCUUUGGACUUGAGCAAUCCCAACACCAAUCUUUUUGAGAUCGGUGGCGGGUUGCUUGAAAUGCAGGUGCAGCUGGACAUUCUCCUGAGCUAAAAGCAUAUUCAUUUAGUCCCGUCAAACGGAUUAUUACUUUUGCUGCAGCUAACAUAAAGGGAGUUUGACCGUAUUGGCUGACUGAUGCAGGAUUUCACAAGGGUCGGCAACGAUUCUUGUUAAACUCGAUCUCAAAUCAAGUAAGACUACCCGCUGAACUUAAGCAUAUCAAUAAGCGGGGA